CUUUCCAACGGCUAGCCGAACACUGCAGGAAGGGUGCUGGUGAUUUCCUCUAAGGCUAAGAAAAUGCUGAACUGGCUCUUCAGGGUCGGCCCAAUAACGCAAGACCACAGUGCACACAUCACUUGUUUCACCUUGGCACAGUCUCCCUCAGGUCCCUGCUCUAAAUUCCCCUUUUCAGGUCAUCCACUUUAGUGGCCCCGACCCAUAAGAGGAGGGGAAAGGAGAGCCUAGGGCAUAGGGGGACAGCCACACACGAAUGCAUCCCCUCAGGGAUCCCUAAAGAGGGGGCUCUCAGACAGGGUUGCCUCAACCCCACCGAUCCCAAAUGAAUUUCAAGUUUGAUGGCUGAAUCAGAAUAAAGUCAAACCACUAUAGGCUAGAACAUACCCUUUCAGCCCCACGCUGAACCAGACAGACACAAUCAGGCUGUGCUCGGAUGGGGUCUCAGGCCAAUUUGUGGUGGUUCUCAAACUGUGUUCCUAGAAGCAUCCCAUGUGCCCCCAGGGCCAAGAGGUCCAGGUUCUACCCCCACCCACAUCCCCUGAAUCAGAGCAGCUUUUUUUUCAUUUUAAAAAUUUUGAUCUGUUUCACACAUUAUAUUUGUUUGAACUUCCCAUGUUUAAAAAUUUUGAAGAAAAUCCCUGGAGUAGACAAUCCCUAGAGCACUGACAUGCUGUGGUCCAAGGUUCACCAGGAACAGUGCCUGUGCCCUGCCACAUGGC
rnacentral:lncRNA from 1 species